rnacentral:rRNA from 1 species
CGGGGGGGGCAAGCGUUGUUCGGAAUUACUGGGCGUAAAGGGCCAGUAGGCGGCCAACUAAGUCCGACGUGAAAUCCCCAGGCUCAACCUGGGAACUGCGUCGGAUACUGGAUGGCUUGAAUUCGGGAGAGGGAUGCAGAAUUCCAGGUGUAGCGGUGAAAUGCGUAGAUAUCUGGAGGAAUACCGGUGGCGAAGGCGGCAUCCUGGACCGACAUUGACGCUGAACGGCGAAAGCUAGGGGAGCAAACGGGAUUAGAUACCCCGGUAGUCCUAGCCCUAAACGAUGAAUGCUUGGUGUGGCGGGUAUCGAUCCCUGCCAUGCCGAAGCUAACGCAUUAAGCAUUCCGCCUGGGGAGUACGGUCGCAAGGCUG